rnacentral:rRNA from 1 species
GAUGAACGCUGGCGGCGUGCCUAAUACAUGCAAGUCGAGCGAACGGACGAGAAGCUUGCUUCUCUGAUGUUAGCGGCGGACGGGUGAGUAACACGUGGAUAACCUACCUAUAAGACUGGGAUAACUUCGGGAACCCGGAGAUAAUACCGGAUAAUAUUUUGAACCGCAUGGUUCAAAAGUGAAAGACGGUCUUGCUGUCACUUAUAGAUGGAUCCGCGCUGCAUUAGCUAGUUGGUAAGGUAACGGCUUACCAAGGCAACGAUGCAUAGCCGACCUGAGAGGGUGAUCGGCCACACUGGAACUGAGACACGGUCCAGACUCCUACGGGAGGCAGCAGUAGGGAAUCUUCCGCAAUGGGCGAAAGCCUGACGGAGCAACGCCGCGUGAGUGAUGAAGGUCUUCGGAUCGUAAAACUCUGUUAUUAGGGAAGAACAUAUGUGUAAGUAACUGUGGACAUCUUGACGGUACCUAAUCAGAAAGCCACGGCUAACUACGUG